UUUGGGGGUAGGUGUUGUUGUAUUGGGUUUUCGCUUCUUUUUUGAGGAAAAAAAUAAUAAAGUUGCGGGGGAAAAGAACCUGGAAAGACUUCGGGGAGGGGACUAAUAGUAUCAAAAUGUGUUUAAAUUUAAAUUUUGUUUUAAACAAUAAAAGAAUAUAACAAAAAUUAAACAUCCACUUGUCAUAUUUUCACCAUGUCUUUUGCUCCUCUGUUAUAUUUUCCCUCUAGAGACUUCCACCCAGGUGUUCAUAAAUAGUCCCUGGUCUUAUGAGGAUAUCUCCAAGAUUAAAUCUGAAUUUUGCUCGUGAUUCCAGAAUUAUCAAGACAAUGGGUCAGCACCCACUCCCUGAACACAGCAUCCAGAGAUGGGACACGCCGACACACUGUGCUUCAGAGAAC
rnacentral:lncRNA from 1 species